AAGCUGGAGCAUUGUCAUUGAAUCUAAAAAGUGCAUGUUAUGAAGAAGAAAUUAUGCAGAGAAAUUCCAAGGCUUUUAAAAUGGAAUGAAAGCAAAAAUGCUUGCAGUUACUCUGUGUUUGGAAUCAUGGAGAAGAUGAGUGGCUGUGCAUCCCAGGUGUGGAAUGUGUAUUGCCUUGUAUAAAAGAUGAAGGAAUUUGCCAGAAAAGGUCCAGCCACACCCAGAAGGAGCUUUUUUGCUAGCAGUGAAUAAAGUUCGUUUGAAAUCUU